rnacentral:rRNA from 1 species
UACGUAGGGGGCAAGCGUUGUCCGGAUUUACUGGGCGUAAAGAGCGUGUAGGCGGCCAAGCAGGUCCGUUGUGAAAACUGGAGGCUUAACCUCCAGACGUCGACGGAAACCGCGUGGCUAGAGUCCGGAAGAGGAGAGUGGAAUUCCUGGUGUAGCGGUGAAAUGCGUAGAGAUCGGCAGGAACACCCAGGGGGAAACCAGCCGACUGGGCAAGUGCUGACGCUGAGGUGCGAGAGCGUGGGGAGCGAACCGG